CAGUUGAAAUCUAGAAAAAUCAAGGUUUCAAUUGAUUUCAAUUGGUUACUUCGGUAGUCUCGUUUGUCAAAAUCCUUUUUGGAAAUUCUUCCAGGAUUUGAGAAUAUUGAAUUAAAUAAAAAAAGGAUCUAUAAAUAUAAAAACGUUACUAAAAAAUGGUUCCAGGUUUAAUAAUAAACCUUUAUUCGUACCAGGUCAUGAUAAAGUUUUAUUAAGUAAUAUAUAUUCUGCGGAAUCGUUAUUAUCUGUUUUAGCUGUUGCUAUGGCAGAAAGUAAACACUACCGUCAAUUUUUACCCAACAUAAUAAAUAAAACUACUAAAUUUGUAUCAGAAAUGAUUGGUAAUAGAUUCACUAAAGAGAUCUACAAAAAUAGAAUUUAUUUGCUGGUUCUUAAUUUCAUAAAUCGAAAAAAACAGUUGAUUAGAUAUAUUAUUUUAUUUGAUAAAGAAAACACAGCAGCUUCUAUGUGUCAACAAUUGUCUUCAUUUCAACGUAUUCAGUGAUUCUACAAAUAUUUACAACAAUUCAAUAGUCACUGCUUUUGUUUGAGGUCAAAUGAUAUUUGGGAAUGUUACGAUCACACAAAAUAUCAAAUUUCCAGGAAAAAUGAAAAACGAAAAGUAAAUGUACAGAAAAAUUCUUAAAUUAAAAGUAUGGAAAUUUGAAAUUUGUUUAUAGUCAAAAUAAACGAUGAGUGUACAUUAAUCAUGAAAAA